GCAUGGGAUAGCCUUUCUAAAUGGUUUAUUAAGCAAUUCUAUUUUACCAAGACUAUCGUAACCAUGCAAAAAAGCAACGGCAAAUCCGUUGCCUUUUUUGGAU
rfam:Streptococcus pneumoniae SP6-BS73 ctg820, whole genome shotgun sequence.